rnacentral:rRNA from 1 species
GUAGCAAUACGUGGCGCACGGCUCAGUAACACGUAGUCAACAUGCCCAGAGGACGUGGAUAACCUCGGGAAACUGAGUCUAAACCGCGAUAAGUGAGGAUUUCUGGAAUGGUUCCUGACUAAAAUCUAUAUGGCCUCUGGAUUGGACUGCGGCCGAUCAGGCUGUUGGUGAGGUAAUGGCCCACCAAACCUGUAACCGGUACGGGCUCUGAGAGGAGGAGCCCGGAGAUGGGCACUGAGACAAGGGCCCAGGCCCUAUGGGGCGCAGCAGGCGCGAAACCUCUGCAAUAGGCGAAAGCCUGACAGGGUUACUCUGAGUGACUUUCGCUAAGAAAGUCUUUUGGCACCUCUAAAAAGGGUGCAGAAUAAGGGGUGGGCAAGUCUGGUGUCAGCCGCCGCGGUAAUACCAGCACCCCGAGUGGUCGGGACGAUUAUUGGGCCUAAAGCAUCCGUAGCCGGUUCUGCAAGUCCCCCGUUAAAUCCAGCUGCUCAACAGAUGGGCCGCGGAGGAUACUACAGAGCUAGGAGGCAGGAGAGGCAAGCGGUACUCAGUGGGUAGGGGUAAAAUCCGUUGAUCCAUUGAAGACCACCAGUGGCGAAGGCGGCUUGCCAGAAUGCGCUCGACGGUGAGGGAUGAAAGCUGGGGGAGCAAACCGGAUUAGAUACCCGGGUAGUCCCAGCUGUAAAC